rnacentral:rRNA from 1 species
GAUGAACGCUGGCGGCGUGCCUAAUACAUGCAAGUCGAGCGAACAGACGAGGAGCUUGCUCCUCUGACGUUAGCGGCGGAUGGGUGAGUAACACGUGGAUAACCUACCUAUAAGACUGGGAUAACUUCGGGAAACCGGAGCUAAUACCGGAUAACAUGUUGAACCGCAUGGUUCAACAGUGAAAGACGGUCUUGCUGUCACUUAUAGAUGGAUCCGCGCCGCAUUAGCUAGUUGGUAAGGUAACGGCUUACCAAGGCAACGAUGCGUAGCCGACCUGAGAGGGUGAUAGGCCACACUGGAACUGAGACACGGUCCAGAGUCCUACGGGAGGCAGCAGUAGGGAAACUUCCGCAAUGGGCGAAAGCCUGACGGAGCAACGCCGCGUGAGUGAAGAAGGUCUUCGGAUCGUAAAACUCUGUUAUUAGGGAAGAACAAAUGUGUAAGUAACUAUGCACGUCUUGACGGUACCUAAUCAGAAAGCCACGGCUAACUACGUG